GGCAGCCCCGGAAACCCCGGCCCUGCGUCCGGCUCUAUUCCCGGCAGCCCCGGAAACCCCUGCAACCCUGGCCCCGGCAAGUUCUGGCAAGUUUCCUCUGUAAGUCUCCAGACACAGCCACUUUCUGCCAGUUCUGCUUCUGCUCUUGUUCUGAUCACGAAGGCUGGGUGGUGAUGAAGUCACCCCUCCUCUUGCUGAACCUCACUUUCCCAGAGGCAACUGAUGUCUGAUCAACUGAACAGAUGAUUAUUUUAAACCUGUUAAUAAAAACACAUGCAUCUCAUUAAGGGACAGAUAAAACUGACCUUACAGCUUGAACUAUGACCAGAGAACCAGUGAGCAUGCGCAAGGCGGCAGGGUCAAAAGUUCAUCUCAGAGGAAGAAUUCUGCCUUCAUCGCUGAGACCCCCGAGAGACCACCAGAGACAACUGCGCAGGCGCAAAAGACUGAUGAGCUAAUUUGUUACAUUCCCCUGUGGGAAUGGUUUCUCCCCCCCUCAGGGACCCCUAGAGCAUGCAACCAUGUAGUUUGACCCUUCCUUCCCUUUCUGACCCUACUGGCUGUGUCCCAAACUGCUCCUCCCUGGCAAGAGCUGAGAAAAGACCCUGUUCCUCUGUGCAUGCCCUCUUUCCCUCUGGACACCACCUGGAAUAAACAUCUUACUGCAGCUAAGGGUUAGAGCCUCUUUUGGGUCCUUUAUCCUGUCUAUGAAAUAUUCCUCCAAAGCCUUCUAAGGCCUGAGAUAGCUUGGAACUUCGGAGGGGUUAAAAAGGAGGAUUUAUUUCACUAAUUAGCAUACGAAGCUGAGGGGAGGGAAGCCAAAGGAUGAAUAUACAUGAAGGUAUUGUGAAACUCAAUACAUAUGUAACAUUCUAGAGGAUAAAAGAAAAAAUGUAAAAGCGGGGAGCAUGCCUUUGAGAAUUAUCUCGCAUCGUGCCCAGCACUGAAUAAAACUGCAUACCUACUUUAAAACUCGCUCUGCCUCUGAGUUUUAGAGUCCUUUCCGCGUGUCAGUAAUGAAUCAAUUGAAAAAAUUAUUUUGAAAAAAAAUUUGCCAUCUUGAUAAGGUGGAUUUUCCUUUAGAAGCCUGGAAACUCUUUUGGGAAACUUCAUACAGCUAG